GUAUAUUGCUCUCUCAGUGUGUUGUCUAGAGCAGACUAUUGUAGAAUUGCUUGGUUCUAGCUGUGCAGUUUACUAGGGAGGGAAAUAUCAGUGACUGCAAAAAAAACCUAACAUCUGAAACUUGCAUUGGCUUGUCUGGAGCUUAUUUUACACUGUUUUGAAAGUGUAGAUUUUCCCCUCUCUUGUGUUUCCUGCGAAUUGGUUCUGCAUGAGCCACGAUCAAAUCCCUGUAGUAAAUCUGAAUGCAGCCAGACAUGCUGGAAGGUGCCUUAGAAAAAGGAACCGCAGCCUCGGCAGUGUCCUCAGCAAUGUUCUGCAGAAAAGGAAGUGCAUUUCACGGUCUGCACCUCGAUUGCUCUGCACCUUAGAAUCAGGCGCUGAUCCACGAGUGAAGGUUAACACCGAAUGUUUGCCUGUACAAAAUGAAUUUCAGCAGUGGUUUGAGACCUGUCGAGCUAUUGUUUGGUUACCAGCAGGAAUUCCCAAGCGGUGGAGGCCAAGGGUUUGGAUAACGUUGGCAGACCAUCACCUUCAAAGUAUCUCCAUUGACUGGGAAAAAAUCAAGCAUUUUUUCCUUAAUGAGCAAAGAAACCCAAAUGAGGAUGCAUUAGGAAUCCAGAUAGACAAGGACCUGCGUCAGUCCAGCUUGAACCAUGACAGUGGCACAGAUGUGGAACAGUUCCACAGUGCACUGAAACGACUUUUACUCGCCUAUGCUCACUGGAAUAAGAGUGUUGGCUACUGUCAAGGUUUCAUAAUACCAGCAGCAGUCAUUCUGAAGGUGAUGGAAAGAGAUGAGGGCAAUGCGUUGAAGGUCCUGGUCUAUCUACUUGACAGAGUUCUUCCAGACAAUUAUUUUGCUAGCAAUCUCAGUGCUUUGACCGUUGAUGUUGCAGUCUUCCAUGAUCUGUUAAGAAUUAAACUCCCUGAACUUUCACAACAUCUGGACCGUCUUUGCACAGCAGCUAAAAAACCCAAUGAUGGGAGAUGCAUGCUACCGCUUACCAGUGUCAUCACCAUGCAGUGGUUUCUGACUCUCUUCACUUCCUGUCUUCAAAAAGACACCAUCCUCCGGGUUUGGGAUGCUAUCUUGUUUGAAGGGUCAGAGGUGCUAUUUCGAGUGGCUCUAGUGUUAUGGACUCAACUUGGAGAGUGGAUCAAGAAGUGUCAGAGCCCUGAUGAGAUUACAAAAUGGCUGAAUCGGGAGAUGAUGGAGACUAAUUUGAUGGACUGCAGUGAGUUGAUGCAGGCUGUGUAUUCAAUGGCAACUUUUCCCUUCCCACAAGUGGUUGAACUGAGAGAGAAGUACAGUCCUUCCUCAUUCCAAGCAAAGGUCGAUGCCUCAAGCCAUCAGUUGAAGGAAGCUCAGUGCAAGGCAAAAGCAUCAAAUGAAAUUCAUGGAAUAGACUCUUUCCUUUCUGCAGUGGGCUGCUCCCGGGCACAUAAUCCACUACACUGUCAGAAAACAGCUCAAAAUGAAAAGCGAAAAAGCAGCUGUAAUGUCGGAAAGACUGUUCCAGCCACAAUUGCUGAGAGUGUAUCACAGCCUCAAAUAGCAGUAAACAACACAGAGUACACAGCAACGCGUACACCCGUGUUGAAGCAACAGCACUCAAAAAUGACCAAGAGACAGCAACAAAACCAGUACCUAACUCCCAGACAUGGUAACAAUGAAUCUUGCUCUCCUGGGACACCACUUCGUUCCAAAAAGUCUAAAGUUAUAAAUCGAUUCCUUGGUGGAAAAACAUUAAAGAACAGCAGCAAAAGUAACCGAGUUCACCACACCCCAAAUCCCAGGACACCUCAGCCCAUACAGAAACAACAGAAAAAUAAGAUAACUGUCCCCUGGUGUUCUCAAAACAGAGUGCCCCGGAACGUCCUGACCAGGAAUCUGAAGGUUAAGUCAGGCUGCAGUGAUACAGUAGGCCUGCUGGAAGACCAGACAGAUAGCACCAAGGCAGAAGUCGUCAAAGUUGAUGAUCCAGUCCAUAGAAUAACGGAAGAGAACAGGAAAGGUUCUCAGUUACACUGCGAAGCCAGAAUGAAUUAUGGUGAACGAUUGGCCGUUCAAUUGUGCAAAAGGGAAGUUGACAAUUUGGCCAAGGUUGAAAAUUUACUCAAGACACUUCAGAUAGGGGAGCCAAACCAUUCGUCAUUUGCAGCAGAAUCCACCAACCAGCUCGGGGUCCAUGAUGGUUGUGUGGAUUUGAGAAAGGAUCGGUUCAGAGCAAAGAAUUUCACAGCUCAGUCUGUUAUCAAAGCGAAUACCACAGACAGUACUCCACUUGUUCACCUCUCAGGAAACUCUCUCAGAACGCAAAAUCUAGGUUUAUAUGGAUCUUGCAGCAACACCCAGAUAUCGCCAUACAAUAAAUGAUUAAGAAAAGAAAUGCUACUGCCUUGCAAUAAAAGCAGAAAAUACUAGGAAUCCUCAGCAGGACAGGCAGCACCUGUGGAGAAAGGUUUCUAAUGGAAGACUGUUCAGUAUGGACCAGAGCCCAGUCUUUGGGUUCUCACAGCAGAGAGGUCAACUGGGUUGUGUGUGAAUGUUACCCUUUCAUUCAUUCAGUGGGUGCUGGCUGAGAAGUGAAGAGCCAUCUGGUGCAUGGAGGAACUGCCACCACCAUCUGGAUCUGGAGCAGCUGCACGGAUGAGUCGCCAAAGUAUAAGCACGACAUUGCUGCAGGGUGCAUCUGCUACUAAAGAUGCAUUGCUGCAAGUGAUCAGUCAAAAGAGAGACAACAGCUGCUACAAAAGACUCAGACUUAGGGAAAGAGCAGUGUAUCAUAAAUAUCUCAACUUUGAUAGAGAGACUACUGUGAGGUGCCCAGCCUGGGACAGACAAGACAUAUGGCUGUAGCAUUUGUAGACAUAUUGUACAUGGAAACACUACUGUUUUGUGUAAAAUAAGCAUACUUUUUAAAAUCCAGUAUUAUCUUACUGGCAGUACACGUUUUCUGAUAUUCGAGUCUGUUGCAAGAAAUGUAACUAAAGUCAGAAUACUGCAGUUAAAUCCUUGGAGAGAGUAUGCUACAGCAUGCUUUUCCAUUGACAGAAUGUGUGCUGUAUGAAAUCCAGAUCAGGCUGAGUUAAGAAUUCCCAUUAGGAUCUGUGGUUUGUUAAUUUACUCUUCAUUGCAGUGUUAUUAAACCUAUCCAUUAUUGCAAUUAACUUUCAAAUGUUAACCGGUGUAUCAAACAAUAGAACAGCAAAUACUGCAGAUGUAAAAAUAUUCCAUAACUUUAUAAAGAUCCAGAGUUCUGCUUAAACAUUUGGAAUCAGAUUUUUAUUUUUAAAGUUGUGGCAACAGAAAUGGUUAUUUUGAAAGUCAUACAAAUUUUGAAAGUCUGACAAUACUUGGUGCUCAAAACGUUUAAUAAAACUCACGACUGUUAAGAGGUGCAUGCUUCCUACAUGAAAUAUGUAAUUUUUCGAAUUGAUGCCACUUUUAAAUAUUGGUGCAUGCAGUAGAAGAGAUCCUGUGUCAAUUGUACCUGGAAUACUUCAAACUUACUCACAAAGACAAUAGCCAAUUGCUAUUUCCGACACAAACAACUACUGACAUCAAAUAGCAAUUAGAUCAUGUAGAUCAAUUGGAUUUGACUUUCCAUUGAUAAUUCAGAACUUAACAGCAAAAUCCCACAAGCUAGUACUUUGCAAGUAACUAUUGCUUUCAUGAUGGAAGUGCCAAUUUAAGAGAGAAGGGAUUAAAUACAAUUUAAAUCUAGAUGUUAGGACAUACUUGAAUGUUUUACUGGUUUGUUAGUAAAUGAAACACAUUAAUCUGCUCAGUCUUGCAGAUCUAGUUGUGAUAUAUCGUAUUGCCAAAUGUUGAUUUAAUUCUUGUGUAAGUGUUAAAAAACUAAAGCCAUAUAUAUUGACCAGGAAUGAAUGCAUUGUAGAGGUGGGUGCCAACACCUUGUAGAACAGUGCAUUUUUGUUUUGGGACAUUGGUUUGAAACUCAACUCAAUACACAUGAACACUUCUUCUGUUGAAUAGGUGUUUACAGUCCCUAAAAACUGAUUCUGGGUAACCUUAGCUCCAUUGCCAUUAGAUAUGAAUCUAAUACAGAGACUUUCAAAAUUCAUUUCAAAGAGAAACACUAUGUUCUUACCUGCUUUCCUAAUAUCUGGACUGCAGCACAGUGUUAGUCCAUUGUGAGGGGAGCAUUAAAUUGUUUCUGUCUUGUGCUAUUGUUGACCAAUACCUAUUUAAUACUACCACAAAACAUGUCUUCCAUUUUCUAAUAUUGCUAAUCUUUACAUCAGUGAUUCAAGAGUCAUUUUUCAUCUGCAUUCCAGAAACCUUGACUUUCCCAAUUCAACUACCAGCAAAAUGUUCAACUCUGGGAAGUAGAAGGUAAUUACAGAAACAAGAAAUAAGUAUUUCCUACCAUUUACAAUAGCUAUCUGAGAAGGGAGCAUAAUAGUAUUAAAAAUAAGCAUUAGAAUACAAAACAGAAAUUCAUACAGGAAAACCAAGGACAAGGAUUAAAAUCUCAAAGCAAAAUGAAAGGCAAAAUAUGAAAUCUAAGAGAUGUGAUUCACUUCCAGGAAGCCAAUAGUAUAAAUAAUUGAGAAUUCAGGUGGAAGAUAAUACAGAAAACUACUAUAUCACUUGAUUUGUUGAUCCAGGUUUUGUCACAGAGAAAUAGAUGACAGUGCUUCUUGAGAAGGUAGGCAGUGGGAAGAAAAGCCCCAAACUAAAUAACUUAAAUGAAAAAUGACUUAUUGUCUGAAAGAAUUUGAAUGAUUGCAUGCAAAAUCAUCCAUAAAUAUGGACCAUAACCAACUUAGAAUAUUGAAUGAAGACACAUACUAAUGAACAGAAAUGUAUCUCUCCAUGCCAACCACAAAUAGGAAAUCCAAAAUGUUGCGUUAAAUCAGUUGUUAGAACGUACUUGUGAGGGCAUUCCUUUUUAAAGAAAACAAUUUUUUAAAGAGAUUUAGAGUGCAAGCCAGGAGACAAGACAUAUCAUUUAGGUAAGUGGCUGUCCUAAUAAUGGAGGCGAACUGUCCUUUCUGCUUCCUUGUUCUGCUAAUUGAAUCUGAGUUAAUUGGUGUUAAGAAGAAUUUGUAGGUGAUAUACAGCUGUAUGCCAUGUUUGAGAAAGCUGAACUGCUCAGUAGGAAUCUUCUCAAGUUACAAAUAACAGCCAGGUAAUAUCAUACAAUUUGAGUGCAGGGAAAUUUCAAGCUCUGAUUAAAAUGACUUUAAAGGUGGUCAAUGUAAGACCAUUGGUAGAUUUUGUAUACAAAGGAUGUGAAUGGUCUGUGCAUUUGAUUUGUCAGACUGUCUGGAAUAUUGAAGGGAUUUUGUGAAACUGCACAAUGGGGAUGAUUUUAACCAAUCUCACCAGUUAGGAAACUGACAGGAUUGGGUGCAAUGCUGGUUUUACACCCCACACAACUUCACAUUGAAGUCAAAAAGUAACAUUGGAUAGGGUAUAAAAUCCAUGUUUCAUCUAAUCCAGUGAGUUUCCCACCUAAAGAAAUAGCUUAUUACUCCCCAAUGUCAAUCAUAUAAAACAGCAUGUCAUAUUGACAUUAAAAUUCAGUUAAUCUUAUUAGACAUUGUCAUAAGAAUAGUGUCACUUGGUAAUACAGAGUGUUUUACUGAACUGUUGCUUGUUUCAUUCAGCAGACAACUCACAUUUGUUUAUAUGUACAUGGCUUGUCAGUUUUAAUCCAACUGUUUUCAAAAAUAAAAAAAAAUAAGUGUUUGAUGUAGAAAUUUAAUUUCUGGAGGAUCACUGAA